ACAGAGGUCCCAAGCGUUGUUCGGAUUUACUGGGCGUAAAGGGUGCGUAGGUGGUGAGGUAAGUUUGGUGUGAAAUCUCCGAGCCUAACUCGGAAACUGCAUUAAAUACUAUCUUGCUUGAGGGUAGGAGGGGAGAGUGGAAUUCUCGGUGUAGCAGUGAAAUGCGUAGAUAUUGGGAGGAACACCAGUGGCGAAGGCGAGUUACUGGACUGCAACUGACGCUGAGGCACGAAAGCUAGGGGAGCAAACAG
rnacentral:rRNA from 1 species